GUCAUGAUGCCACAUAGAAAAAUCACUGUUUGACAAGACGACAUGUGUCCAAUGAAUGAAACUCUACGUUUCAUUUAAUCUAGGAUUGUUUUAUGGGCUUCUAAUACAUAAUCUUCUUGUCCAAUCAAUAAUUGUGUCUUCAUCUUCUCGGGAAAGUUAGCCACAGAUGUGGCCGUCGUACUGAUCCGAUUUCUCCCACCGACAUGGAGGUCCCGAUGAGUACGAUUAUCACUUUCCAAUCUCUGGUGAAAGCUGUGGUCGUCCGUGUCGAUACACUUGCAGCUCUUCUCACAUGCCUUCAGAGACGACACCCGUUACGAAACGCUACCGGAUUCAAUCAUUGUCAUUAAAGUUCUAAUUUAAAUCUCAUCUCCUAGCUUCUCUUUCCAUGAUUUCCAUUCAAUUAUCAGUGAAUCUGCAACUAUAAAUAUGUCAGUUUCUUCCCGUAGAAAUUCAUUAUUUCAUUCUUCUCCAUUGUUAAUUUAGACAUGUUUUUAAAGAGAGACUUGAACAGUUGGUUAGCGAAGAACAUGCCAGUGUCUUUUAUUCUUUUUUUCUGUAUCAGAUAUCAAAGAUCAUAACUUUUUAGGUCAGAUUACUUUGACUUUGCAAUUAGACUUAUGUUGGUUGAAACGAACUUUAUUCAUGGUUCUGGAUCGUUACUUCCUUUUUUAUAUGAAGUAGAUACUUGUAAGAUAUUCAGAUUACCAUGAGAUUACAUAAUAUACUAUGUUUUAUUGUAUUUCCAUGUUUUGUUUGUAACUCACGAACGGCUGCAACAUAGGAGGCAUUGUGAUGUGAAGAUGGUGGACUCAUCAAAGACAUAAGUCAUGAGAAGAAACAUAUGAAGCAGUUUCUCAUCAAGGAAUGUCGACGUUGCUUUGGCACCUCACCAAAAAGAGCUAAUGAGCUUUUGAGAAACAUGGCGAGAGUAGAGAUACCAAUAAUAAUAAUGGGUAAUGAGUUCAAUAUCACCAUCCACAUCAGCAACAUCAAUGGUUUAUCCAUAUCUGGUUUUUGAGAUGCAACAACUGGUUACUGGUGUCUCCAGUGUCUAUGAUUAUGAAAGGAUUUUGCACUACAGAACAAGCCUAUGGGAGCACCAACAAGGGGUCCUCAAUGAGAUGUCGUAGAGAAGUAUCUUAACUUGGAUACAUAAGAGGCUGAUGAAGUAACAUAUAAUCUGUCAGUACAUUGAGGAGCUAGGAAAUAUGGUUAGAAUGAAGGAGAAGGCAUAAACAAACUUUCAUGCUUAGUGUCUGUUUAUUUGUUGCUUAGUAUUACAAAAUGCAAUAUCUAUGUGAUGAACAAUCUUAGACUCAUGAAUUAGAGAAGAAGUUUUUAAGCGUAGAAGAAUAAAACAAAGAACUUUGAAGGUUAUAAAAAGAU